AGAGUUUGAUCCUGGCUCAGGAUGAACGCUGGCGGCGUGCCUAAUACAUGCAAGUCGAGCGAGAACUUCGGAAGUUGCGAUUUAUCAAGACAGAAGAAGGGAAAGCGGCGGACGGGUGAGUAACGCGUAGGCAACCUGCCCCUGGCAGAGGGAUAGCCAUUGGAAACGAUGAUUAAAACCUCAUAACGCCGGAAGCACACAUGUGCAUCCGGCCAAAGAUUUAUCGGCUGGGGAUGGGCCUGCGUCUGAUUAACUGGUUGGUGAGGUAACGGCUCACCAAGGUAACGAUCAGUAGCCGACCUGAGAGGGUGAUCGGCCACAUUGGAACUGAGACACGGUCCAAACUUCUACGGAAGGCAGCAGUAAGGAAUCUUGCACAAUGGGGGAAACCCUGAUGCAGCAACGCCGCGUGAACGAUGAAGGCCUUCGGGUUGUAAAGUUCUGAUCUUGGGGAAGAAGGAAGUGACGGUACCCAAGGAGAAAGCCCCGGCUAAAUACGCGCCAGCAGCCGCGGUAAUACGUAUGGGGCAAGCGUUAUCCGGGAUUAUUGGGCGUAAAGAGUGCGUAGGUGGUUACCUAAGCGCAAGGUUUAAUCUUGAGGCUCAACCUCAUUCUGCCUUGCGAACUGGGCUACUUGAGUGCAGGAGGGGAAAGCGGAAUUCCUAGUGUAGCUGUGAAAUGCGUAGAUAUUAGGAAGAACACCGGUGGCGAAGGCGGCUUUCUGGACUGUAACUGACACUGAGGCACGAAAGCGUGGGGAGCAAACAGGAUUAGAUACCCUGGUAGUCC
rnacentral:rRNA from 1 species